rnacentral:lncRNA from 1 species
UCAGAAUUGAGACUGGUAUUUGGAGACGACAUUGUGGAGUUCUGUCUGUCAUGCAUUCUCAUUUCAAAGGCAGUUUGUCUGGGGUUACUGAUUGCCUGAGGACUGGAGCGAUUUCCCAGAGCUUGAGGGGAAAACUGCCCACCAGGAAUAAAGGAAGGAUGAUCUCUCUUCAUUCUUUUCUUUUUUUCUUUUUGUCGUCUUUUAAAGUUAUCAUCAUCGUCUUUUCGCUUUUUGAAAAUACUAUCUUCAACUUCUCCAACAGCCAACAUGAUCAUCUGGACUCGCUGCAGGUUGACAAAACCACUUUCUGUGAGAUAGCCCCCAGUUUUGUGCACCACGUUUUUAUAUAUGUUAACCAAGCGAUCAAUUGCUC